GACAGAGGGUGCAAACGUUGCUCGGAAUUACUGGGCGUAAAGCGCGUGUAGGCGGACCACCAAGUCGGACGUGAAAGCCCUGAGCUCAACUCAGGAACUGCAUCCGAAACUGGCAGUCUGGAGUAGUGGAGAGGAAAGCAGAAUUCCUGGUGUAGAGGUGAAAUUCGUAGAUAUCAGGAGGAACACCGGUGGCGAAGGCGGCUUCUGGACACUUACUGACGCUGAGACGCGAAAGCGUGGGGAGCAAACAGGAU
rnacentral:rRNA from 1 species